ensembl:misc_RNA Y_RNA Y RNA
GGCUGGUCCGAUGAUAGUGGGUUAUCAGAACUUAUUAACAUUAGUGUCACUAAAGUUGGUAUACACCCCCCCCACUGCUAAAUUUGACUGGCUUUAA